CUACGGGGGGCUGCAGUGAGGAAUAUUGGACAAUGGGCGAAAGCCUGAUCCAGCAAUAUCGCGUGAGUGAAGAAGGCUAUUUUGGUUGUAAAACUCUUUCGUCGAGGAAGAUCAAUGACGGUACUCGAAGAAGAAGCCCCGGCUAACUCCGUGCCAGCAGCCGCGGUAAGACGGAGGGGGCUAGUGUUAUUCGGAAUGACUGGGCGUAAAGGGCGCGUAGGCGGUGAAUUAAGUUGAAAGUGAAAUCCCAGAGCUCAACUCUGGAACUAUUUUCAAAACUGGUUCACUAGAGUUCGAUAGAGGAUAGUCGAAUUUCUAGUGUAGAAAUAAAAUUCUUAAAUAUUAGAAGGAACUCCAGUGGCGAAGGCGACUAUCUGGAUCGAUACUGACGCUGAGGCGCGAAAGCAUGGGGAGCAAAGAGGAUUAGAUACCCCAGUAGUC
rnacentral:rRNA from 1 species